CAAACGACUCUCGGCAACGGAUAUCUCGGCUCACGCAUCGAUGAAGAACGUAGCAAAAUGCGAUACUUGGUGUGAAUUGCAGAAUCCCGUGAACCAUCGAGUUUUUGAACGCAAGUUGCGCCCGAAGCCACUCGGCUGAGGGCACGUCUGCCUGGGCGUCACGC
rnacentral:rRNA from 2 species